GCGGGUGUAGUUCAAUGGUAGAACCCCAGCCUUCCAAGCUGGUGACGUGAGUUCGAAUCUCAUCACCCGCUC
rnacentral:tRNA from 1 species